UGAAAUGCGAAAAGUAAUGCGAUUUGCAUGAAUCUGUGAGUCAUCAAGUCUUUGAACGCACCUUGCACCGUAUGAGCAAUUGUACGGUAUACCUGUUUGAGAAUCGUAAAACUCUCUUUUCUUUGGAGAAGGAUGUGUCGGUUGUGUCUGCCUCGGUGGAUACUCUGAUUAAAUGGAGUAGGUUUGGAUCGGGCUGGUGGCCUGAGACACUGUGUGCUAGAGACUAGCAGUCGUUUACUCGACUGGUCUGUCUUCUCAUGGUGCGUCUCAGGUCAUUUAAAGCUGGCCUGUUCAUCUGACCCUUUAACUGCGCCAAGGUCUUGUGCCUUGGGCAACCCCAAUCUUUGAUCUCAAAUCAGGUAAGGCUACCCGCUGAACUUAA
rnacentral:misc_RNA from 1 species